ensembl:lncRNA
AAGACUGAGAUUUUGGUUCUAGCUCAACAUAUGGACCUCAGAACGAAGAGGUGACGUGAUUGAUCUCUCUCCCCCCACCUCACAGCAUGUUGCUGUAAGUAGAAAGUAGACACAACACAUAAGAAGAUCAGACUGACCCUUGUAGCUGGACCAAAAAACAAACAAACAAAAAAAACAACCCACAAAAACAGUCUGCAGAAUAUUGUUUGCACAGCACCACUAACUAACCACUGAUCAUUGGUUGUUACAGGACUUCUGCACAGCCCAGUUGAAGAUGGGCAGGCAGCUCCUGGAAGGACACACGAUGCCCUUUCUUCUUCUGAAUGUUGGCUUGCUGUGGGGCUCUGGAGAAAUAACUGAGCUGAGGAGGGGGACAGCGCUGGUGCUUAGGUCUCUAAGGUGUGAUCUCCUGCCUCCAUCCGAGACAGCUCAGGAAUCCAUAUGGUCCUGCCAAGGCAAAGGUCUUCAGCUCCUCACAGAUCUCUCCUCCUCUUGCUGCGGGCAGAAAGCUGGUGCUUUUUCAGGCAAAGCUCAAGAAACAUUAAAUAAAAACACGAAACUGAGGAGCAGCUGAUGGACUGUGGCUCUGGACCCAGAAUAAUUAAGACUGAGGCUGUUAUCACUUCUUUUUGUAUUAUGAACAUUGUGAUGUUAGCGUUGAUAAAAUCAAUGCAUACAUCUUUAAAAAAAAAUCAGAACGAAAAAACAUAGAGCCUGGAUUCACCUUUCAGGGGGACUCGGUGAGAAGGAAAUGAUUGUUUGUCACUCUGGAUGCAUCAGAAGAAGGAUGUAGGUGGUUCUCUCAGAGUGACACUCUCCCUUCAGUGCUGGGGAGGAGUGUUGUAGCAGUUCAAAGCCAUGGAAAUCAAUGGAAAUGUCCCUGGAGAAGCGAGACUGGGUUUGCAUGGAAAGAGCAUGGACACAUUUAGGAACCUGCUCGAGCAGGCAUCUGCAGGAAAGCCACUAAGUGCACAAGCCUCUUUGCAAAGUGGAUCCUUGUGUCUGAUUCUCAGCAUGAAAUGACUGCAUGGCUCCAGCCCAAGAACAGCACUGACAUCUCCGGCUUGCAGACAGUUUCUGUGCAUCAUCUUGCCAUGCUGCUGAUGGGAAAGCUUCCUGCAGGCCACGGCUGGGAAAGGUGCUGGCAAAUGCCACUUCUGUUGGUGCCUCUCCCAGCAUGGAAGCCUUGGGAAGAUCUCAAGAAUCCAUCUACACCAUCCUUCAGCCCCAAGGCAGGAUAAGCGCUGGCUUAGGACCACUCCCAGAAUGUUUGCCCAACCUGUUCCUAAAAGCCUGAGUGAUGCCAAGCUGCCUUCUCUGCCCAUGCAGUCUGGUGUUUGUGCUCGACCAAGAGAAGAGCCAUCCUUGCUUCCCCAACCCAAACCAUAUGUUGUUUUGAUUCCAUCUAAAUCUCAUCUUGAAAUCAUCUUCCAGAUUUUUUUUUUAAUAAUCUCAAUGUUAUGUCAUUCGUCUGUUGACUUAUUGGGUGAGGGA